UGUCAACCGGAAGUUCCAGAAUGUUGUCUUGUUUUUGCUUAACAACAUGGCGAUUCGUGAGAAAUCUACUUGUGGUUUUCUACGUAAGUCCUUAAUUCAAAGCUUUUAAAUGAAAAUUAAUAUUCACAGUAAAGAGAAAAUAUCAGAUGGCUCUUGAAAAUGCAGCUGUUAAUGCAAACCAUGAAGCUGACAGAAGUGCAGGAUAAUUCACUUCCUUUUAAUGAGAUUGUGAAUGGAGAUAACAAAUAAGAAUGCCUGUAGUGAUGACCAUUCUUUACAUGCUGUGGAGGAAGUUCUGCUGAUGAUUACGCUAUUUCUAAUUAAGUGGCGCUGUUAAUUUAAAACUGACUUGGAAAAAAAGAAAAAAAGUGAUGUAGAUGCCAGCUAUUAAAGAAGACUAUUCUGUAGUUAUGAUUGACUCUAUUUGUACCUUUGACUCUUAUUUGUAGUAAAAAAUUUUGAACUAAAAUUUUUAAUGCAAAUAAAUUUGUUUAAUUUUUCUAA